CCUACGGGUGGCAGCAGUAGGGAAUCUUCCACAAUGGACGAAAGUCUGAUGGAGCAACGCCGCGUGAGUGAAGAAGGGUUUCUGCUCGUAAAGCUCUGUUGGUAGUGAAGAAAGAUAGAGGUAGUAACUUGCCUUUAUUUGACGUUCAUUACUUAGACAGUCACGGCUAACUACGUGCCAGCAGCCGCGGUAAUACGUCGGUGGCAAGCGUUGUCCGGAUUUAUUGGGCGUAAAGCGAGUGCAGGCGGUUCAAUAAGUCUGAUGUUAAAGCCUUCGGCUCAACCGGAGAAUUGCAUCAGAAACUGUUGAACUGGAGUGCAGAAGAGGAGAGUGGAACUCCAUGUGUAGCGGUGGAAUGCGUAGAUAUAUGGAAGAACACCAGUGGCGAAGGCGGCUCUCUGGGCUGCAACUGACGCUGAGGCUCGAAAGCAUGGGUAGCGAACAGGAUUAGAUACCCCAGUAGUC
rnacentral:rRNA from 1 species